rnacentral:rRNA from 1 species
UUUAUCAAAAACAUUUCUUCUAAAAAAUAGAAGUACUCUCUGCUCACUGUUCAAUAAAGAGCCGCAGUAUUUUGACUGUGCUAAGGUAGCAUAAUAAUUUGAUUUUUAAUUGAAAUCUGGCAUGAAGGAGAUUGCGAAAUUUUAACUUUCUUAUAUUUAUAAUUUAAAAUUUUAUUUUUAAGUGAAAAAGCUUAAAUAAAUUUAAAAGACGAGAAGACCCCGAGAAUUUAAAUUCUUUAAAAUUAUUUAUUGAAUCAGAAUUUUAGCUGGGGCGGCUGUUAAGAAAUAAAAUCCUUAAAUAAAUAAACUAUAUUAGAAAAUUUGAAGUUUAAAUAAAUUAAUAGUAAAAUUACCUCGGGGAUAACAGCGUAAUUUUUAUUUAAAGUUCUUAUAAAAAUAAAAGUUUGCGACCUC